GACGAACGUUGGCGGCGUGCUUAAUACAUGCAAGUCAACUGAAGCAGUGGUAGCAAUAUCGCUGUGGAGGUGGCGCACGGGUGAGUAACACGUAGGUAAUCUGCCUUCAGGUCUGGCAUAACUCCGGGAAACCGGGGCUAAUAGCAGAUGAUGCAGCGGCUCGACAUCGAGACAGUUGUUAAAGCUAUGGCGCCUGAAGAUGAGCCUGCGUCUGAUUAGCUAGUUGGCGGGGUAACGGCCCACCAAGGCAACGAUCAGUAGCUGGUCUGAGAGGAGGAUCAGCCACACUGGAACUGAGACACGGUCCAGACUCCUACGGGAGGCAGCAGUAAGGAAUAUUGCUCAAUGGGAGAAAUCCUGAAGCAGCAACGCCGCGUGAGGGACGAAGGGCUUUUGCUUGUAAACCUCUGUAGUGAGAGAAAAAAAUCCCAAUCUUUGGGACAUGAUGGUAUCUCAAAAGUAAGCCCCGGCUAACUACGUG
rnacentral:rRNA from 1 species